rnacentral:rRNA from 1 species
UUGAACGCUGGCGGCAUGCUUUACACAUGCAAGUCGAACGGCAGCACGGGUGCUUGCACCUGGUGGCGAGUGGCGAACGGGUGAGUAAUGCAUCGGAACGUGCCCAUGAGUGGGGGAUAGCCCGGCGAAAGCCGGAUUAAUACCGCAUACGCCCUUAGGGGGAAAGCGGGGGGAUCUUCGGACCUCGCGCUAUUGGAGCGGCCGAUGUCGGAUUAGCUAGUAGGUGAGGUAAAGGCUCACCUAGGCGACGAUCCGUAGCUGGUCUGAGAGGAUGAUCAGCCACACUGGGACUGAGACACGGCCCAGACUCCUACGGGAGGCAGCAGUGGGGAAUUUUGGACAAUGGGCGCAAGCCUGAUCCAGCCAUGCCGCGUGAGUGAAGAAGGCCUUCGGGUUGUAAAGCUCUUUCAGGUGGAAAGAAAUAGCGCUGUUUAAUAGAUGGCGUUGAUGACGGUACCACCAGAAGAAGCACCGGCUAACUACGUG